CGGUCCGCUGGCUCAAUGGCAGAGCGUCUGACUACGAAUCAGGAGGUUCCAGGUUCGACCCCUGGGUGGAUC
rnacentral:tRNA from 1 species